GAUGGGGUUUUGGUAAAAGCCCUUCAUGCAUUACAACUUUGAUCACUUUCACUUUCUUACACUUCUAAUCUCACCAUAAGUUCCAACACCCACUAGUUGAACUUUCAUCAUCCCUCAACCCUCUCAGUUCACCACCUACAAGCAAAAUCUGAAAAAGAGGAUAAAAGCAGUACCCAUGAUUAUGAAGUAGGACUUGCUAUCGAAAAUUUUGAAGUUUAGUUCUCUCGUCACUCCAAGUUUUCAACCCAAAACUUUUGGAUCUUUGAUACCCCAU
rnacentral:lncRNA from 1 species